rnacentral:misc_RNA from 1 species
UCCGGUUUGGCACCGGCAGUCCUCCCAGAGUCCCCGCCAUGACGCGCUGGCAACUGGGAGCGGGGGUUGCGCUCGUUGCGGGACUUAACCCAACAUCUCACGACACGAGCUGACGACAGCCAUGCAGCACCUGUCUCCAGGUUCCCGAAGGCACCCCCGCAUCUCUGCAGGGUUCCUGGGAUGUCAAGACCAGGUAAGGUUCUUCGCGUUGCGUCGAAUUAAACCACAUGCUCCGCUGCUUGUGCGGGUCCCCGUCAAUUCCUUUGAGUUUUAGCCUUGCGGCCGUACUUCCCAGGCGGGGCACUUAAUGCGUUAGCUUCGGCACGGAAGGAGUUGACACCUCCCACACCUAGCACCCAUCGUUUACGGCGUGGACUAC